rnacentral:rRNA from 1 species
AAGUAUAAGAGGUGAAGCCUGCUCUAUGGUUGUAUCUGAAAAAAUAACAAAGAAGUUAUUUAUNAAGACAAUUAAAUGGAUGCGGUAUACCUAACUGUAAAAAUGUAGCGCAAUUAAUCGUCAAUUAAUUGUUGACAAGUAUGAAUGGCGUCACGAGUGCUUAACUGUCUUAAGAAAAAACCCAAUGAAAUUGAAUUCGUAGUUAAGAUGCUACGUAAUUUUGUAAGACGAAAAGUCCCUAUUAAGCUUUACUGGAAACUUAUACUGUUUUAAUAAAUAGAUGUAUUACAAGGGAAGUAAAAAAUARUACUAAACCAAUUAUAAAUAUGAAAGACUAUGUCGCCAAAAUAGGAUGAAUUAGUAUGUUAGACAGUUUGGUUGGGGCGACUCCCUAAAAAAGGAUAACUAAGGGGCACUAAGGUAAUGAAGAAAGAGCUUGACUGGAAGAGGGCACUCAAACAGACACGAAAGUGGGUAAAGCGAACCGUUAAUAAAAGUGGAAUUGAUAACGAUAAACGAAUAAAAGUUACUAUAGGGAUAACAGCGUAAUAUUGUUAGAGAGAUGACAUCGACGACAAUGUUUGCGACC